rnacentral:rRNA from 1 species
UACGGAGGGGGCUAGCGUUGUUCGGAAUUACUGGGCGUAAAGCGCACGUAGGCGGCUUUGUAAGUUAGAGGUGAAAGCCCGGGGCUCAACUCCGGAAUUGCCUUUAAGACUGCAUCGCUAGAAUUGUGGAGAGGUAAGUGGAAUUCCGAGUGUAGAGGUGAAAUUCGUAGAUAUUCGGAAGAACACCAGUGGCGAAGGCGACUUACUGGACACAUAUUGACGCUGAGGUGCGAAAACGUGGGGAGCAAACAGG